rnacentral:rRNA from 1 species
GGCCCCCGGAUCCUCGGGUCUCCCGCUCGCGGGAGGCUGCCCGCCGGAGUGCCGAAACCAAACUCUUGAUAUUUUAUGUCUCUCUGAGUAAACUUUUAAAUAAGUCAAAACUUUCAACAACGGAUCUCUUGGUUCUGGCAUCGAUGAAGAACGCAGCGAAAUGCGAUAAGUAAUGUGAAUUGCAGAAUUCAGUGAAUCAUCGAAUCUUUGAACGCACAUUGCGCUCGCCAGUAUUCUGGCGAGCAUGCCUGUUCGAGCGUCAUUUCAACCAUCAAGCUCUGCUUGCGUUGGGGAUCCGCGUCUGACGCGGUCCCUCAAAAACAGUGGCGGGCUCGCUAGUCACACCGAGCGUAGUAACUCUACAUCGCUAUGGUCGUGCGGCGGGUUCUUGCCGUAAAACCCCCAAUUUCUAAGGUUGACCUCGGAUCAGGUAGGAAUACCCGCUGAACUUAAGCAUAUCAAUAAGCGGAGGAAAAGAAACCAACAGGGAUUGCCCUAGUAACGGCGAGUGAAGCGGCAACAGCUCAAAUUUGAAAUCUGGCUUCGGCCCGAGUUGUAAUUUGUAGAGGAAACUUUUGGUGAGGCACCUUCUGAGUCCCUUGGAACAGGGCGCCAUAGAGGGUGAGAGCCCCGUAUAGUCGGAUGCCGAUCCAAUGUAAAGUUCCUUCGACGAGUCGAGUAGUUUGGGAAUGCUGCUCAAAAUGGGAGGUAAAUUUCUUCUAAAGCUAAAUAUAGGCCAGAGACCGAUAGCGCACAAGUAGAGUGAUCGAAAGAUGAAAAGCACUUUGAAAAGAGGGUUAAAUAGCACGUGAAAUUGUUGAAAGGGAAGCGUUUGUGACCAGACUUGCGCCGUUCCGAUCAUCCGGUGUUCUCACCGGUGCACUCGGGGCGGCUCAGGCCAGCAUCGGUUUUGGUGGGGGGAUAAAGGUCCAGGGAA